UGCCACAGUUACCACAGAUGUCCUC
rnacentral:piRNA from 1 species